rnacentral:rRNA from 1 species
GACGACCUUUGGCGGCGCGCCUAACACAUGCAAGUCAAACGAGCGAGAGAGAGCUUGCUUUCUCGAGCGAGUGGCGAACGGGUGAGUAACGCGUGAGGAACCUGCCUCAAAGAGGGGGACAACAGUUGGAAACGACUGCUAAUACCGCAUAAGCCCACAGGUCGGCAUCGACCAGAGGGAAAAGGAGCAAUCCGCUUUGAGAUGGCCUCGCGUCCGAUUAGCUAGUUGGUGAGGUAAACGGCCCACCAAGGCAACGAUCGGUAGCCGGACUGAGAGGUUGAACGGCCACAUUGGGACUGAGACACGGCCCAGACUCCUACGGGAGGCAGCAGUGGGGAAUAUUGCACAAUGGGGGAAACCCUGAUGCAGCGACGCCGCGUGGAGGAAGAAGGUCUUCGGAUUGUAAACUCCUGUUGUUGAGGAAGAUAAUGACGGUACUCAACAAGGAAGUGACGGCUAACUACGUGCCAGCAGCCGCGGUAAAACGUAGGUCACAAGCGUUGUCCGGAAUUACUGGGUGUAAAGGGAGCGCAGGCGGGAAGACAAGUUGGAAGUGAAAUCUAUGGGCUCAACCCAUAAACUGCUUUCAAAACUGUUUUUCUUGAGUAGUGCAGAGGUAGGCGGAAUUCCCGGUGUAGCGGUGGAAUGCGUAGAUAUCGGGAGGAACACCAGUGGCGAAGGCGGCCUACUGGGCACCAACUGACGCUGAGGCUCGAAAGUGUGGGUAGCAAACAAGAUUCGAUACCCUGGUAGUCCACACCGUAAACGAUGAUUAAUAGGUGUCGGAGGAUUGACCCCUUCAGUGCCGCAGUUAACACAAUAAGUAAUCCACGUGGGGAGUACGACCGCAAGGUUGAAACUCAAAGGAAUUGACGGGGGCCCGCACAAGCAGUGGAGUAUGUGGUUUAAUUCGACGCAACGCGAAGAACCUUACCAAGUCUCGACAUCCUGCGACGAUGCUGGAAACAGUAUUUUCCUUCGGGACGCAGAGACAGGUGGUGCAUGGUUGUCGUCAGCUCGUGUCGUGAGAUGUUGGGUUAAGUCCCGCAACGAGCGCAACCCUUACUGUCAGUUACUAUGCAAGAGGACUCUGGCAGGACUGCCGUUGACAAAACGGAGGAAGGUGGGGAUGACGUCAAAUCAUCAUGCCCCUUAUGACUUGGGCUACACACGUACUACAAUGGCGUUAAACAAAGAGAAGCAAGACCGCGAGGUGGAGCAAAACUCAGAAACAACGUCCCAGUUCGGACUGCAGGCUGCAACUCGCCUGCACGAAGUCGGAAUUGCUAGUAAUCGUGGAUCAGCAUGCCACGGUGAAUACGUUCCCGGGCCUUGCACA